UAAUUAGAUCAGCAUGAGCUUCCCAACCAUCCAAACCCUAUCCAUUCUCUCUCCAUUUCAAGAACCCCCUGCCGAAGUGAAGAAGGAUGUCAAACUCAAAGAUCCUCAACCGAUAUGAUAAAGUUGAGCAUCUCAGACCUCAGAGGACGGAGUGGACUAUACGUGUUAGGGCUCAGGCAGUUUGGAUAGGCAUAAAUAGAGAGACUCAAGAUUUUCGGGGCUUCAAUGUCAUAUUUAUUGAUGAUUCGGUGAGAUUUGCUCAAUUUAUUACUGGUUCAGUAAACCUACCUCCAUUUAUUGUCAAUAAUCGACCUUUUAUAUGCAAAACUCUAUUCUGUCAAAUGUAGAAUGCAAGGAUUCAUGCUUUUCAGAAUGCCAAGAUAUGUGAUUUUUUCAAAGAUUCAUUGAAAGAAGGCUGCAUUUACACUCUAUCAAACUUUCAUGUAAGAGCGUAUACUAAAGAGGACAGAAAUCGUGAUGUGAGGUUUAACAAACACAUCUACUUUGCAAACCAUACAAAACUUAAACUUCUGAUUGAUAAUGUUACAAAGAUUGCUCCAUAUGAUUUUGAUCUAAUUAAGCUCUCAGAUGUGGCCCAAUGUGUUGCUGAUGCUCGAUUCUUAGUUGGUAAUAAUCUUCUAUAAACAUAAAAUUAUUACACAACAGUUGAUACGGCUAUUUAAUACACCAUGUUGCUUUGGUAGAAUCCUUUAAGUUGACCAUGUUGUUUGUUUAUCUUUAGAUGUUGUUGGUGAAAUAGAAAACACAAAUAUCGAGUGUAAUAGGAACAAGGAUGAUGACAAAAAGUCACAUAUUCGUUUCCGAAUAACUGAUGGGAGGACUUCACUUAAUGUCACAUUCUUCAACCAAUUUGGUGAAGAGUUUGAGAAAGCCUUGAAAGAUAAUAUUUCUGCACAAGUGAUUGUUGUAAUAGUGAGCGCAAAAGCCAAUGAACAUGAAGGUAUUAGUUCCCUUUUUUGCACUACAAUUUUAAUUUAUGGCCAUAGAAACUCGUACAAUUUUAUAUUCUCAACUCUGUUGCACAGGUUCCCCUUGCUUGAACAACUAUCCAGCUACUAGAUUUUGGGUUAUACAUCAAACUGG